CGGACGGGUGAGUAACACGUGGGUAACCUGCCUAAAAGAAGGGGAUAACACUUGGAAACAGGUGCUAAUACCGUAUAUCUCUAAGGAUCGCAUGAUCCUUAGAUGAAAGAUGGUUCUGCUAUCGCUUUUAGAUGGACCCGCGGCGUAUUAACUAGUUGGUGGGGUAACGGCCUACCAAGGUGAUGAUACGUAGCCGGACUGAGAGGUUGAACGGCCACAUUGGGACUGAGACACGGCCCAG
rnacentral:rRNA from 1 species